rnacentral:rRNA from 1 species
GGGCCCGCACAAGCGGAGGAACAUGUGGUUUAAUUCGAUGAUACGCGAGGAACCUUACCCGGGCUUGAAAUGGAGAGGAAUAACUUGGAAACAGGUUAGUCAGCAAUGACCUCUUUGUAGGUGCUGCAUGGUUGUCGUCAGCUCGUGCCGUGAGGUGUCGGCUUAAGUGCCAUAACGAGCGCAACCCUUGUCAUUAGUUACUAACAGAUUAAGCUGAGGACUCUAAUGAGACUGCCACCGUAAGGUGUGAGGAAGGUGGGGAUGACGUCAAAUCAGCACGGCCCUUACGUCCGGGGCGACACACGUGUUACAAUGGGGGGGUACAGAGGGCAGCUACCACGCGAGUGGAUGCGAAUCCCAUAAAACCCUUCUCAGUUCGGAUCGGAGUCUGCAACUCGACUCCGUGAAGCUGGAUUCGCUAGUAAUCGCGCAUCAGCCAUGGCG